GCUGAAGCAAGUAUAAUCUUUGACAGGAUACAAACAAAUAGCCAGUGAAUGCUCCAUGAACACAGCACUCAGACCUGGUUUUCACUACAUCAGAGGAAUGAUGGAAAGUUGCCUGUGGCUAAAGGCAGCCAUUAGUACUGGGGCAGGACCCUGGCUGCACGAGGGCAGGACACAUCACCUUCCACCUGCUUGAAGCCAAUAGGGAGAAGAAGCUCCUGCUCAGCAAGCCCAUCCGAAGAGCAGAGCUGGUGGGACAAACAGGGAAGGAGCUAUUGCAUAAGAAGUGCUGGGCUGCAGGACAGGGAACGUCUGUCCCAGCCUUGCUGUUGCGAUCACAUUCUUCCAGCUGGUUGCUGCGCUAGCUCUGUACCAGGUGAGAGCAUGCAGCUGGUGCUCAGUGUCCUAGAGAGAGGGUAAGCACACCAAUUUCUGCAGCAUACAUAGCUGUGCUUUUGCUAUCUGCCAAGACAAUAAAUACCAUGCAUUUUGUCUCUGCAACUCGGUACCCCCCAGGAAUAAGCAAUGUAGGUGCUGUGAGUGCCAUAAGAAGAACAC
rnacentral:lncRNA from 1 species